GAUGAACGCUGGCGGCGUGCCUAAUACAUGCAAGUCGAGCGAACGGACGAGAAGCUUGCUUCUCUGAUGUUAGCGGCGGACGGGUGAGUAACACGUGGAUAACCUACCUAUAAGACUGGGAUAACUUCGGGAAACCGGAGCUAAUACCGGAUAAUAUUUUGAACCGCAUGGUUCAAAAGUGAAAGACGGUCUUGCUGUCACUUAUAGAUGGAUCCGCGCUGCAUUAGCUAGUUGGUAAGGUAACGGCUUACCAAGGCAACGAUGCAUAGCCGACCUGAGAGGGUGAUCGGCCACACUGGAACUGAGACACGGUCCAGACUCCUACGGGAGGCAGCAGUAGGGAAUCUUCCGCAAUGGGCGAAAGCCUGACGGAGCAACGCCGCGUGAGUGAUGAAGGUCUUCGGAUCGUAAAACUCUGUUAUUAGGGAAGAACAUAUGUGUAAGUAACUGUGCACAUCUUGACGGUACCUAAUCAGAAAGCCACGGCUAACUACGUGCCAGCAGCCGCGGUAAUACGUAGGUGGCAAGCGUUAUCCGGAAUUAUUGGGCGUAAAGCGCGCGUAGGCGGUUUUUUAGUCUGAUGUGAAAGCCCACGGCGUCAACCGUGGAGGGUCAUUGGAAACUGGAAAACUUGAGUGCAGAAGAGGAAAGUGGAAUUCCAUGUGUAGCGGUGAAAUGCGCAGAGAUAUGGAGGAACACCAGUGGCGAAGGCGACUUUCUGGUCUGUAACUGACGCUGAUGUGCGAAAGCGUGGGGAUCAAACAGGAUUAGAUACCCUGGUAGUCCACGCCGUAAACGAUGAGUGCUAAGUGUUAGGGGGUUUCCGCCCCUUAGUGCUGCAGCUAACGCAUUAAGCACUCCGCCUGGGGAGUACGACCGCAAGGUUGAAACUCAAAGGAAUUGGCGGGGACCCGCACAAGCGGUGGAGCAUGUGGUUUAAUUCGAAGCAACGCGAAGAACCUUACCAAAUCUUGACAUCCUUUGACAACUCUAGAGAUAGAGCCUUCCCCUUCGGGGGGCAAAGUGACAGGUGGUGCAUGGUUGUCGUCAGCUCGUGUCGUGAGAUGUUGGGUUAAGUCCCGCAACGAGCGCAACCCUUAAGCUUAGUUGCCAUCAUUAAGUUGGGCACUCUAAGUUGACUGCCGGUGACAAACCGGAGGAAGGUGGGGAUGACGUCAAAUCAUCAUGCCCCUUAUGAUUUGGGCUACACACGUGCUACAAUGGACAAUACAAAGGGCAGCGAAACCGCGAGGUCAAGCAAAUCCCAUAAAGUUGUUCUCAGUUCGGAUUGUAGUCUGCAACUCGACUACAUGAAGCUGGAAUCGCUAGUAAUCGUAGAUCAGCAUGCUACGGUGAAUACGUUCCCGGGUCU
rnacentral:rRNA from 1 species